AAUAAUAGUAUAUAUUUAGAUCUUUCACUUUAAAAAUACGUGCGCCGUCAUUAGAUGGUGUGUUUGAUGCACUUUAAUGAUGCUAAUUACCUGUGUUUAAUAAAUAAACUACAUCUGAGUCGAAAACGUCGUGGCCUCGGAAUGGUUGCACGAAUAUACAACAUAAAGAAGGCCUCAAUCACAUUAAAGCGUUUUCCCAAUAUCAACGUAAGCGGCCUAGUUUCCAUUGCCAUCGGCAACCAAAAUACAAGUUGCACUGGAAGCAUAUUUCGCGUGAGGGCAAGUGCACUUGGGCUGGCCCAUUGAACUCGCCAAUAGACAACACCCUGCACAUCGUUCACGAUCACAUGACACCCGACGGACACGUGUGUGUUAUAUCUGACUGCCAACACAUCCUACAAUAUACACCUGGCCACUCGCUACUCUGGAGAUUAUGAAAAAGGAAAUAAUCCAAAAGGGUUCAGCGCGGAACUAUGUCGUCUUUAGAUUGGCGGAGUUAUGUUUCUUUAUAAUCUCAUGCAGGCCAAUUGAGCUCCUUGAAGAAAUCAACAUUUUUAAUGCUGUGCCGAUUUUCAAGUCUUUCGCGAAAUCUAAAAUGUAUAUCUUGUCAAAAUCGCACGUAAUUCUAGCGAUAUAUUAUAUUUAAAAGAAAUUAAUUAAUUUUUCAUUCUGUCUGUCAGCCAGCUCUACCAAGCUUAUGGACAGAAAUAUAUUUCGUAUCGUCGGUACCUGAAAAUGAAAAAUUGUAAAGUUGCUGCUAAAUCUGGAUCGAUUCUGUCUAUUUUAAAGACUUUAAUGAAUCCUUAAAGCCUAAUCUGAGCACAAAAACUGUAAGGUAAAGUUCUACAAUUGUGUUUAUACAAAUUCCUAAGAAGGCAGACUCCCCCGAGAAAGCAGCUUUUCAUAAAAACAUUUUCAUAUUGUCUACCUAGGUCAAAUUAACAAAGUCUUAAAUUGUGAGUGGCUUAGCGGACAAAGAAACCGGCGCACAGAAAAUAAGCAAGCGAUCAAAAUGCGAGUGUGAGCGAUGCGCCACACUGUUUAGCAUACACACCCACACAAACACGUGUAUGCGCAGAGAUGAGCCAAGCCAGAGAUAAGCAGCACCUGUUUGUGUGUGUGUUCGCUGUCAUUUUUCUACUUACGCUCACGCGCUCACGAUUCAUUUUGACGCUGAUCGCUGAUUGGUCCAAUCAAUAAUUGCUAGCAAUCGUGGCCUCGCAUGGUCGUUUGCGUGCUCUAUUUUCUGUGCGCCGUUUGUUAGUUCACUGUGGACCUGCGCAUCUUUACUUUGAGUUAAUUUGGCCCCGUGAGUCAAUCUGACAUGUUCUUAAACUGUGAGUGAUUAUUUAGUUCUUUUUUUAUGUUGGUACCGUCUUUUUUUUUUAUAAUUUACCAUUUUGAACUGGACGGACUAAAACUUAAUUUAUUAUCUAAUAUAAUAUUUAAAUAUUUAUAUAUAGAAAUUGGUGAACAGAAAAUGGACAUGUCUUAUUUUGACCUAUUAGCAGCCUGCAAUAGCAGUCAUAUACAUAUACACAUGCAUGUACAUUUUUGUCGAUAAUCUCUGCAUAUAAAUGUUUAAGUGUGUUUUCGCAAUUGACAUCUUAUUAUGAUUGUCUUGUGCUCAUCUACUUUUGAAUAGUACUCACUCUUUUAAUAUGUUUGCAUGUAAAUCGUUAGUAGCUAUCCCGAGCUUAAAAAAGUGUAAUAUUCCUAGGUUCUUAUUUAGCCCAGAUACUAACAAAAAAACUAUUCAAAAAGUUUCCACGCGAAUUAUGUCGUCUUUAGAGCGGAGGGAUUAUGUUCUUUUCUAACGUCUUAUUUCCGCGCGGCACUUUAAAAUUCAAGGCAUAUGUGCAAAUGUAUGACUUUUUAAAAUAAGGAUACGUCCUUCAUACAAAAUACGUUUUAAACUAAUUUUUCAGUUUGUAUUUUUCAGCCAAAUCUGCCAUGGACAACAUAUAAUCAGCAAAUGAUCGCUAUUCAUGGUACCUAGUUAAACUAUAUAACGUUAGUUAUUCCAUAUCAUGGAUAUAGUCAUAGCGAACCUAAAGGUCCGAACUCUCUCAAAAUGCCCAAGAAAUGGGUCGAAAAAUAUAUAUGCUUUUAUUUUACAGCCGCCGCCCCUACAUGGUUUCUAGUUGACUAACAUAUCCUUGGUUAUACCAUACCAUCGAUAUAUCCUUGGGAACCUAAAGGAUCAGAUCCCUGCGAAAUAUGCAUUGAACUGGUCCAAAAACAUGUAUGCUUUUUAUUUCAGGAGCCCUUUUACAUUAGCAGCAGCUGUUCUUUACCAGCCGCUUAACAUCACUCAUUUUACAUAAACGCUACUUAACAGUACUCAUUUUAAUUGAGUUACAGUUUUGCCCCUUAGGGCUAUGCAAUAAAAAUUUUUAUUCGAAGAAAUCGUCGACCUUCUGGGCAUUUCUGUUCGCCUGGUACUUUGGCAGAUUUUUAGAAAAAUUGGAUUUUUGACCUUUUUUUUUUAAUUUUCCAUUUUAACCACAUGAUCCUUGGGAAAAAAUAAACAGGAGUUUGUUUAUUCAUUUAAAUAUUUUUUUUAUUGUUUUAAUCUAAAAAAUUGUUAUUUUUAUGUUAUUUUCCUAAUUGACAUCAAAUAAAGUCCGAUCCUGGAAAAAUGUCCUUUGUCACUUUUGCAGGUCCUUGUAGUCCUUAAUUUGCCAGUCUGAAACGAUAAAGGCAUAUUUAAAUAAAACAAGGCAAAAAAUAUAA